rnacentral:lncRNA from 1 species
UCCAAAUAAUUUAAUUCAGGUAACUAUAUUACAUGAGAGCCUUCAACAAUCAGCAAACUACAAAUGAUCUGUGUUUUAUAUCCGGUGACAUAAUAAUUACUAAGAAACAUGUAUAUAAAUAUAAAUAUGAAUAGGUUAGUCGAUUCCUUGAAUUAAAUGAUAAGGAACAAUAUAAAUAUACCUGCUCGAUUUGACGAAAUGUCUUUCUUGUCGUAUUGUUGUAAUUCUUUUGUAUACAACGCAUUCUAGGUUAUUUUAAUUCUGCUUAAUCUGAUAACUGUUAUUUUAUGUUUGUGCAUAUUGAUAUAUUGUUGUUAUCAUAAAAACAUCAAAUUGAGACGAAGCCAAAUUGUAUUCGUAUUCAGACUUCUCUUUAUGAUACGCAAUUAACGACAGCUUUCAGACAUAAUAGUGUUUGAUUCGUUACUUCACAUUCGGGGGAAAAAAUGGCGGGAUUGUUGCUGCGACAAUUAGAACAUAUCCGUCGUCAUUUAUGAAACAGAUAUUUUGUAACGGUCAACCAAUUGAUAGCAUUCAUAAAAUUGUCGACGAAAUGAUUUUGACUUCAUCACUUGGAACUCUUUGCUUAAUAGUGCCAGUGUGAGUAGCAACCUUCUAUCAAGGAAAUCCUGAUAGCAAAUACACGCCGUGAAAUAGUGUAUCAACUGAGAGAUUAUAUAUAAAUCACCUGCGCUAACAUGUUACGGUGAUAUUGUUCAAUAUCAAUUAGUUUUGGAAUAAUGCUCAUUUAAUACCUAAAGAUAGCAUCAAAUUAUUUUUUUGAAACCAUCUCGCUCAUGUUUACUGACAUUUAAAACUUGUUCAUUUGUAUAUGAAAAAUAACAAAAUACAGAAAUUAAUUAGAUGUAACGGGAUGUAGAUAAAUAGGUUAUCCUAUCAGCAAGUAUCCUUCCGAAAUAUUUAGCGAUGCAUCAGUUCAAGUCUCAUAAGAGUCCUUUUGAUAACCAAAUAAACGCUUGCAACGUAACAAUUAUUUCUUUCAACAAUAAAAGAGAUAAACAAUAACAAGCGUAUGUAGGGCGAGGAAGUGACAAUCACCAAAAACAUUACGUUCUUGCAAAUAUAUUUGUGGCCUACAGAGCUGUCGUCUUUUGGUACCGACGGCAACAGGGAGGUGCGGACAAUUACACCGUUGUCGUCUCCAUUUGUCAGAAACCACCCGAAUUACUCAAAAGCUGUUCGAAAUAUUGAAUACAUGUCUUAUUCUUCCAACACCUAGUUAUAUAGAUUUCCCUUUAUUUUGGUAUUAGAAAAACGGAAUUUUUAUAUGCUUACUACUUAUAUGGAUUCAUACUUUUCUUUGAUGCAAAAUCUAGUAUUAAAAAGAAUGGGAUUUUUUAAUUUAUAUUAUAAAAUGACAUCAACAGCACAUAUAGCGGCGAU